AUUGAACGCUGGCGGCAGGCCUAACACAUGCAAGUCGAGCGGAUGAAGGGAGCUUGCUCCUGGAUUCAGCGGCGGACGGGUGAGUAAUGCCUAGGAAUCUGCCUGGUAGUGGGGGAUAACGUCCGGAAACGGGCGCUAAUACCGCAUACGUCCUGAGGGAGAAAGUGGGGGAUCUUCGGACCUCACGCUAUCAGAUGAGCCUAGGUCGGAUUAGCUAGUUGGUGGGGUAAAGGCCUACCAAGGCGACGAUCCGUAACUGGUCUGAGAGGAUGAUCAGUCACACUGGAACUGAGACACGGUCCAGACUCCUACGGGAGGCAGCAGUGGGGAAUAUUGGACAAUGGGCGAAAGCCUGAUCCAGCCAUGCCGCGUGUGUGAAGAAGGUCUUCGGAUUGCAAAGCACUUUAAGUUGGGAGGAGGGGCAGUAAGUUAAUACCUUGCUGUUUUGACGUUACCAACAGAAUAAGCACCGGCUAACUUCGUG
rnacentral:rRNA from 1 species